rnacentral:rRNA from 1 species
UGUCUGGCUGACCGAAGAAGAACGCCGCGAAAACCGAACUCGUGUGCAGGAAUGGAGAGACCGUCUUAAGGCCGAACGCUGU